rnacentral:rRNA from 1 species
GAAUUCGCCCUUAGAGUUUGAUCCUGGCUCAGGACGAACGCUGGCGGCGUGCUUAACACAUGCAAGUCGAACGAGAAUCUGCUGAAGGAGGAUUCGUCCAACGGAAGCAGAGGAAAGUGGCGGACGGGUGAGUAACGCGUGAGGAACCUGCCUUGAAGAGGGGGACAACAGUUGGAAACGACUGCUAAUACCGCAUGACGCAUAGAGGUCGCAUGAUCUUUAUGCCAAAGAUUUAUCGCUUCAAGAUGGCCUCGCGUCUGAUUAGCUGGUUGGCGGGGUAACGGCCCACCAAGGCGACGAUCAGUAGCCGGACUGAGAGGUUGAACGGCCACAUUGGGACUGAGAUACGGCCCAGACUCCUACGGGAGGCAGCAGUGGGGAAUAUUGGGCAAUGGGCGCAAGCCUGACCCAGCAACGCCGCGUGAAGGAAGAAGGCUUUCGGGUUGUAAACUUCUUUUAAGAGGGAAGAGGAGAAGACGGUACCUCUAGAAUAAGCCACGGCUAACUACGUGCCAGCAGCCGCGGUAAUACGUAGGUGGCAAGCGUUGUCCGGAUUUACUGGGUGUAAAGGGCGUGCAGCCGGGUCUGCAAGUCAGAUGUGAAAUCCAUGGGCUCAACCCAUGAACUGCAUUUGAAACUGUGGAUCUUGAGUGUCGGAGGGGCAAUCGGAAUUCCUAGUGUAGCGGUGAAAUGCGUAGAUAUUAGGAGGAACACCAGUGGCGAAGGCGGAUUGCUGGACGAUAACUGACGGUGAGGCGCGAAAGUGUGGGGAGCAAACAGGAUUAGAUACCCUGGUAGUCCACACUGUAAACGAUGAUCACUAGGUGUUGGAGGAUUGACCCCUUCAGUGCCGCAGUUAACACAAUAAGUGAUCCACCUGGGGAGUACGACCGCAAGGUUGAAACUCAAAGGAAUUGACGGGGGCCCGCACAAGCAGUGGAGUAUGUGGUUUAAUUCGACGCAACGCGAAGAACCUUACCAAGUCUUGACAUCCUGCGACGAUGCUGGAAACAGUAUUUUCCUUCGGGACGCAGAGACAGGUGGUGCAUGGUUGUCGUCAGCUCGUGUCGUGAGAUGUUGGGUUAAGUCCCGCAACGAGCGCAACCCUUAUCGUCAGUUACUACGCAAGAGGACUCUGGCGAGACUGCCGUUGACAAAACGGAGGAAGGUGGGGAUGACGUCAAAUCAUCAUGCCCUUUAUGACUUGGGCUACACACGUACUACAAUGGCGUUAAACAAAGAGAAGCGAGACCGCGAGGUGGAGCAAAACUCAAAAACAACGUCCCAGUUCGGACUGCAGGCUGCAACUCGCCUGCACGAAGUCGGAAUUGCUAGUAAUCGCAGAUCAGCAUGCUGCGGUGAAUACGUUCCCGGGCCUUGCACACACCGCCCGUCA